rnacentral:rRNA from 1 species
UCCCUGAUGUUAGCGGCGGACGGGUGAGUAACACGUGGGUAACCUGCCUGUAAGACUGGGAUAACUCCGGGAAACCGGGGCUAAUACCGGAUGGUUGUUUGAACCGCAUGGUUCAAACAUAAAAGGUGGCUUCGGCUACCACUUACAGAUGGACCCGCGGCGCAUUAGCUAGUUGGUGAGGUAACGGCUCACCAAGGCAACGAUGCGUAGCCGACCUGAGAGGGUGAUCGGCCACACUGGGACUGAGACACGGCCCAGACUCCUACGGGAGGCAGC